rnacentral:rRNA from 1 species
UACGUAGGCAGCGAGCGUUGUUCGGAUUUACUGGGCGUAAAGGGCGCGUAGGCGGCCCCGCAAGUCACUUGUGAAAUCUCCGGGCUUAACUCGGAACUGCCAAGUGAAACUGCAGGGCUAGAGUGCGGAAGGGGCAAUCGGAAUUCUUGGUGUAGCGGUGAAAUGCGUAGAUAUCAAGAGGAACACCUGAGGUGAAGACGGGUUGCUGGGCCGACACUGACGCUGAGUGCGCGAAAGCCAGGGGAGCAAACGGG